rnacentral:snRNA from 1 species
GUGCUCACUUUGGCAGUACAUAUACUAAAAAUUAGAAUGAUAGAGAUUAGCAUAGCCCCUGCACAGAAUGAUAUGUAAAUUUGCGAACUAUUAUUUAUUUUU